rnacentral:rRNA from 1 species
UAGUCGUAUGCUCGUCUCCGAGACUAAGCCAUGCAAGUCCAAGUACACGUCCUUGAACGACGGAAACUGCGAACGGCUCAUUAAAUCAGUUGCGAUCUACUCGGCGUUCCGCGCCGCCGGAUAACCGUAGUAAUUCUAGGGCUAAUACGUGCGAAGCGCCCGAAGCCGCGAGGCGACGGGCGUUCUCGCCGGAUGUAGGAACCGACCCGGGGACCGCCGGGGGCAACCCCGGCGCCCCCGAGACGGGGCGAACCACGGUGAAAUGACGGAUCGUCGGCCCCGCGCCGGCGACUCGCCGAAUGAGUUUCUGACCUAUCAACUCGAGACGGCGGGGUAGAGGCCCGCCGCGGUAACGACGGGUAACGGGGAAUCAGGGUUCGAUUCCGGAGAGGGAGCCCGAGAAACGGCUACCACUUCCAAGGAAGGCAGCAGGCGCGC